GUAAGUAUAAUUUAACAAAAAUGCUAGAUUGUGAUUCUAGAAAUAAAGGUUAAACUCCUUUUAUUUACC
rnacentral:tRNA from 1 species